rnacentral:rRNA from 1 species
CGUGUAGGCGGUCGGUCAAGUCUGGUGUGAAAGCCCGGGGCUCAGCUCCGGAAGUGCGCUGGAAACUAGCCGACUGGAGCGCGAUAGAGGAGGGUGGAAUUCCUGGUGUAGCGGUGAAAUGCGUAGAUAUCAGGAGGAACACCGGCGGCGAAGGCGGCCCUCUGGAUCGUUGCUGACGCUGAGACGCGAAAGCGUGGGGAGCAAACAGGAUUAGAUACCCUGGUAGUCCACGCUGUAAACUAUGGGUACUAGGUGUUCGGGGUGUUGACCCCCUGAGUGCCGACGCUAACGCAUUAAGUACCCCGCCUGGGGACUACGGCCGCAAGGCUAAA